rnacentral:rRNA from 1 species
AGCGGCGGACGGGUGAGUAACGCGUGGGUAACCUGCCUCAUACAGGGGGAUAACAGUUGGAAACGGCUGCUAAUACCGCAUAGGCGCACAGUACCGCAUGGUACCGUGUGAAAAACUCCGGUGGUAUGAGAUGGACCCGCGUCUGAUUAGCUAGUUGGUGGGGUAACGGCCUACCAAGGCGACGAUCAGUAGCCGACCUGAGAGGGUGACCGGCCACAUUGGGACUGAGACACGGCCCAA